GAUGAACGCUGGCGGCGUGCCUAAUACAUGCAAGUCGAACGAAACUUCUUUAUCACCGAGUGCUUGCACUCACCGAUAAAGAGUUGAGUGGCGAACGGGUGAGUAACACGUGGGCAACCUGCCCAAAAGAGGGGGAUAACACUUGGAAACAGGUGCUAAUACCGCAUAACCAUAGUUACCGCAUGGUAACUAUGUAAAAGGUGGCUAUGCUACCGCUUUUGGAUGGGCCCGCGGCGCAUUAGCUAGUUGGUGAGGUAAAGGCUUACCAAGGCAAUGAUGCGUAGCCGAACUGAGAGGUUGAUCGGCCACAUUGGGACUGAGACACGGCCCAAACUCCUACGGGAGGCAGCAGUAGGGAAUCUUCCACAAUGGGCGAAAGCCUGAUGGAGCAACGCCGCGUGGGUGAAGAAGGUCUUCGGAUCGUAAAACCCUGUUGUUAGAGAAGAAAGUGCGUGAGGGUAACUGUUCACGUUUCGACGGUAUCUAACCAGAAAGCCACGGCUAACUACGUGCCAGCAGCCGCGGUAAUACGUAGGUGGCAAGCGUUAUCCGGAUUUAUUGGGCGUAAAGGGAACGCAGGCGGUCUUUUAAGUCUGAUGUGAAAGCCUUCGGCUUAACCGGAGUAGUGCAUUGGAAACUGGGAGACUUGAGUGCAGAAGAGGAGAGUGGAACUCCAUGUGUAGCGGUGAAAUGCGUAGAUAUAUGGAAGAACACCAGUGGCGAAAGCGGCUCUCUGGUCUGUAACUGACGCUGAGGUUCGAAAGCGUGGGUAGCAAACAGGAUUAGAUACCCUGGUAGUCCACGCCGUAAACGAUGAAUGCUAAGUGUUGGAGGGUUUCCGCCCUUCAGUGCUGCAGCUAACGCAAUAAGCAUUCCGCCUGGGGAGUACGACCGCAAGGUUGAAACUCAAAGGAAUUGACGGGGGCCCGCACAAGCGGUGGAGCAUGUGGUUUAAUUCGAAGCAACGCGAAGAACCUUACCAGGUCUUGACAUCUUCUGACAAUCCUAGAGAUAGGACUUUCCCUUCGGGGACAGAAUGACAGGUGGUGCAUGGUUGUCGUCAGCUCGUGUCGUGAGAUGUUGGGUUAAGUCCCGCAACGAGCGCAACCCUUAUUGUUAGUUGCCAGCAUUAAGUUGGGCACUCUAGCAAGACUGCCGGUGACAAACCGGAGGAAGGUGGGGAUGACGUCAAAUCAUCAUGCCCCUUAUGACCUGGGCUACACACGUGCUACAAUGGACGGUACAACGAGUCGCAAGACCGCGAGGUUUAGCAAAUCUCUUAAAGCCGUUCUCAGUUCGGAUUGUAGGCUGCAACUCGCCUACAUGAAGUCGGAAUCGCUAGUAAUCGCGGAUCAGCAUGCCGCGAUGAAUACGUUCCCGGGCCU
rnacentral:rRNA from 1 species